rnacentral:sRNA from 20 species
GCGGAGACACACGUUUCCGUUCACUCCUCACACCACACCCCGCCUGGACAGUUAUUGGUUCGGGCGGCU